rnacentral:rRNA from 1 species
UACGUAGGGGGCAAGCGUUGUCCGGAAUCAUUGGGCGUAAAGCGCGUGUAGGCGGUCCGGUAAGUCCGCUGUGAAAGUCGGGGGCUCAACCCUCGGAUGCCGGUGAAUACUGUCGGGCUUGAGUACGGAAGAGGCGAGUGGAAUUCCUGGUGUAGCGGUGAAAUGCGCAGAUAUCAGGAGGAACACCAAUUGCGAAGGCAGCUCGCUGGGACGUUACUGACGCUGAGACGCGAAAGCGUGGGGAGCAAACAGG